AAUGAAGAUCACUUCCAAAGCGAU
rnacentral:misc_RNA from 1 species